rnacentral:lncRNA from 1 species
GGCAGACACUCCCAUGGCCAUCCGCUUGCUCUUCUUCGCCUUGGCAGGGCUGGUUGAUGGAAACCCAAUCCGAAUCACCUUGUGGAUGGGAGCAAAGAGGCCAAACUUGGGAGGGCACUGAAAAUACCUUGUUCCAGCCACAGCCCCAUCGUUCUUCCCCAGGGGCUCAUCCAGCUCCACGCCACACCACUCUCCUUUGGCAAAGUCUGUCUCUCCCACGUAGCGCACAACUCCCGUCUUCGUCCCACCGACCAGCACGCGGUCUCCGAGCCGCAGGUCCUUCUCCCCUUUCUUCACAGACCCGCUGUCCGACAGGUUGGAUCCCGACUCGUUGCCCGUCUUCAUGGCGCUGUUGAGGACGCUCUCCCGCAGGGGGAUGACGCGAGUGGAGAGCGGCGGCGUGGCCGUCCCCGAGUGCAGGGACAAGUUCU